UUGACAAAAUUUACCCACGUAGUCCAGGAGUCCAUAUUACUCCCUCCGAACGGAUGAUACUUGAGACCGAUGGUGAUAGCACAUAUGAUACUCCAGGCCCGAUGGAGGGGCCAAAUGGUGACGACUCUAUACAAGGAACCUGGAGCCGACGAUGUUCACAAGAAUUACCCAAGUAGUCCAGGUACUAAGGCUGUGCAUAUAUACUGAGAUUGCUUUUAUGCUUUUUAUUAUGUGAUAAAUCAAACUUAACAGACUUGGGCAGAACCGAUUCUAAUAGAUCAAGCGUGUGACUUGUAGGAGUCCAUAUUACUCACUCGGACAGGACGAUACUUGAAGAGGCCGAUUGUGAAAGGACAUAUGUUCAUCAACCUUCCCAUCUGAUUUCGGGUACGUAUUAUGUUGUAUAAAGGUUAAGACCAUGUGCCUACAACUUUGCCUUGUUUCUGCGAUGAUAUUAUAUAUACUGAGAUUGCUUUUAUGCUGUUUAUGUGAUAAAUCAAACCUAACAGACUUGGGCAGAACCGAUUCUAAUAGAUCAAGCGUGUGACUUGUAGGAGUCCAUAUUACUCACUCGGACAGGACGAUACUUGAAGAGGCCGAUUGUGAAAGGACAUAUGUUCAUCAACCUUCCCAUCUGA